GGUAGGAUGGCCGAGACCUAGGCGGUGGAUUGUAGCCCCACGAACAGAGGUUCGAGUCCUCUUCUUACCA